rnacentral:lncRNA from 1 species
AGGACCUGGGUGGAGAGCCACACCGAGACAUCUCAUGCCACUCACAGCAGAGUCUCAGAAUAUCAUGAUGAGAAGGGGACUGAGAAAACAGAGCAUCAUUAAAGAAACUGAUUUGGGGCUUGAAAAACACUGAGGUAUGAACACUGUCUGUUAGAGCUGGAAGGACUCCUCAUCGUCAGACCUCGCUCCCGGGGCAGAAAUUCCUCCGCCUCUUCCCCAACAGCCUCGGCUGCUGCUUGUCCACUCCCAGGGACGGGAAGCCCACUUCAUCACCGGGAGGCCCAUUGCAAAGGCAGCCCCAGCUGUUGGAAGGCUCACCAUUUUAUGGUGGAAACUGCUUCCAGGAGAGAGGAAUUGAAAUCCAUGACACUGACAAGCAGGGCAUUUGAAAUUGGCCUCCCUGUCACCCACCCACAGGCCGAACAUGUGCCUGCUGGGGCUGCCAAACACACCUCAUCAAACUUCCAGGUAAAGGGCCAUCAGCUUUGGAGACAGUUUUCAUGUUUCUCCCGCCAGGGAGAUAAUGCUUCAUGCUGAGAUUUGAGGACUGGCAGGGGAAUUAUCUAUCUAUGUAUCUAUGUAUCUAUGUAUCUAUGUAUGUAUGUAUGUAUGUAUGUAUCUAUCUAUCUAUCUAUUUUUUAAAAUUUAUUGUCCUGUG